CUGGAUUCCAAGAGUGCAGUUCAGUGUCUGCUUCGGCUUCCAUCAGUUACUGGAUGAAGGCUAUAGGAUGGCAUAUAAGGUGAAAAAAACAUAUUUAACAAAAUUAUAGAAGAAAAUUAUCCCAACCUAAAGAAGGGCAUGCCUAUGAAAGUACAAGAAGUUUACCAAACACCAAAUAGACUGGACCAAAAAAAACACUCCACUGACUUCUCCAUGUCAUUGCACCAUAUCAUACAGUGAAGCACCUGCUCCAGGCACCCAUCUUCUCAAUUGGAAGCCAACUACAAAUUACUUGAAAGAUGACAACCAUUAUUAUUUUUUCAUGUAAAUAAUAUCAGGAGCUACUCCCAUAAAGUCUCAGCAACAUGAGUUGAAAAUAACACCAGUGGUUAAUGGCAACGUGGACUGGAAAAAGCCUAUGAAGUCUCAAUCCUACAUGAAGAACUAUAGUCAGCUGAGGAAAUCUGGGAUUGGAAGAGCUGUUCUUCCCUGGGGAAGAGCAGUCCAAUUGUUUGUUCAGUGGUAAAUUGUCAGCCUUGAAGACAUACUUAGAAGUAAUAUUACAUAAACUGACAAGGUUAUAUUUAGAAAAAUACAUUUAUUUACAUUAUAUACAGAUAUACAAUAACAAUUAAUGAGAAAAAGAGGACAUAAAUUUCAAGUAGAACUGGGAGGGUUGUACAGGAAGGUUUGGCAUAAGGAAAGAAAAUGGAGAAAUAUAAUUAUACUAUAAUCUGAAAUGAAACUUAUAUUGUACUAGUGGUCACAUUUCUUUUGGGUUCUCUGGAACAUUUGUAGUUUUUCCCCAUCAUGUACACCUCAGAACCUGUAAAAUGCCUCAACCUCUAGUUUCCUGUUUACAUGAAAACAUAUGAGUAUGUUACCUGUCAGGUGACUACCAGGGGAACACACAAUCUCCGGAUUUGGGAAAUGGAGUCAGGAGGGCCAAGUGUCUAAGACCAGAUUCAACUGCAUAAUGAGUUCAAAGCCAACAUAGCCCACGUGAGAAACUAUCUCAAAGAAAAGAAAAAGAAAAAAAGAAAGAAAAUAGGAG
rnacentral:lncRNA from 1 species